GACAGAGGGUGCAAACGUUGCUCGGAAUUACUGGGCGUAAAGCGCGUGUAGGCGGGCUAGUAAGUCGGACGUGAAAUCCCUGGGCUCAACCCAGGAACUGCAUCCGAAACUAUUAGCCUUGAGUGGUGGAGAGGGAAGCAGAAUUCCUGGUGUAGAGGUGAAAUUCGUAGAUAUCAGGAGGAACACCGGUGGCGAAGGCGGCUUCCUGGACACUAACUGACGCUGAGACGCGAAAGCAUGGGGAUCAAACAGG
rnacentral:rRNA from 1 species